rnacentral:rRNA from 1 species
GAUGAACGCUGGCGGCGUGCUUAACACAUGCAAGUCGAACGGUGAAGGAGGAGCUUGCUCUUCUGGAUCAGUGGCGAACGGGUGAGUAACACGUGAGCAAUCUGCCCUUGACUCUGGGAUAACAGUUGGAAACAGCUGCUAAUACCGGAUACGAGACGUGACCGCAUGGUCAACGUCUGGAAAGAACUUCGGUCAAGGAUGAGCUCACGGCCUAUCAGCUAGUUGGUGAGGUAAUGGCUCACCAAGGCGACGACGGGUAGCCGGCCUGAGAGGGUGACCGGCCACACUGGGACUGAGACACGGCCCAGACUCCUACGGGAGGCAGCAGUGGGGAAUAUUGGACAAUGGGGGGAACCCUGAUCCAGCCAUGCCGCGUGAGGGAAGAAGGUCCUCUGGAUUGUAAACCUCUUUUGGCAGGAAACAAACCUGCGCUAUACGCGCAGCUGAGGGUACCUGCAGAAUAAGCACCGGCUAACUCCGUG